GAUGAACGCUGGCGGCGUGCUUAACGCAUGCAAGUCGAACGGAAAGGCCCAAGCUUGCUUGGGUACUCGAGUGGCGAACGGGUGAGUAACACGUGGGUGAUCUGCCCUGCACUUCGGGAUAAGCCUGGGAAACUGGGUCUAAUACCGGAUAGGACGAUGGUUUGGAUGCCAUUGUGGAAAGUUUUUUCGGUGUGGGAUGAGCUCGCGGCCUAUCAGCUUGUUGGUGGGGUAAUGGCCUACCAAGGCGUCGACGGGUAGCCGGCCUGAGAGGGUGUACGGCCACAUUGGGACUGAGAUACGGCCCAGACUCCUACGGGAGGCAGCAGUGGGGAAUAUUGCACAAUGGGCGCAAGCCUGAUGCAGCGACGCCGCGUGGGGGAUGACGGCCUUCGGGUUGUAAACUCCUUUCGCUAGGGACGAAGCGUUUUUGUGUCGGUACCUGGAGAAGAAGCACCGGCUAACUACGUG
rnacentral:rRNA from 1 species